GACUGCCCAGGCCAGGAGGACAAGGCUCGGGGCAGAUCCCAAGCCUCACCUCCGCCCGCACCGCUGAGAGGACGCCAGCGCUGGGUCGGGUGGUGGAUGCGGAACCCGCCCAGGGCCUGACCCCCAUGGCCGCCCCAGCCUCGCCUGGAGCAAGCAGAACCCUGACAUGGAUGUGGACAAGAACAGGACCCUGGACCUGGACAUGAACAAGCAGUGGCUGUGAGAGGGCUGCUGCCCCAUCCUGACACCCCUGGAGCCCAUGUCCCCCAGCAGCAGGCAGUAAUGAACAGAUGGUGUUUCCAGCUGAGAGAGGAGGACAGCUGGGACUUGCCCAUGGACUACACCAAAAUGAAGUCCUGAAGGAUAGAUGAGGAUGAGUCCAAAAGGAUUGCUGUAUGUCCUUGUCAUUGCCCCCACCUUUGUCCACACAGCAUGUGAAGUUGGCAUCACUGAGGAAAAUGCACUUGGCACACACCUCAGCAGAAUUGUCUUUUCUCUUUGAAUAUGACCUUUAGCUGAUCAGGGCUUAGAGGACUUAAGUUGACCCAGGAGAUAUUUGGAUUGAUUUGAGUGAAACAAACCAUUGACUUUUUUAAAUGAUGGAUUUCAUUUUCUAACAACUGUGUUUUGUAACAAACUAUUUCUCUAAGAAAGUGUAUAAACAGCAUACCAGUUCAUUUUUUUCUGGGUGACAGAGCGAUAUAAGGCAGAAUUUUCCUUUCAGAUGGAGAAUGGUAAUGAGAGUCUUAAAUAUUUAAAUGGUUAACUAUACGCUGUUAAUUACCUAGCUUUUUGAGGCUAAGGACAGGGUCUCUUCUCUAAGAAAUCUAAAAUAUUCAGAAGAGUAGACUCUAGCCUAGAAUGUCAACUUAGUACUGCCACCUAAAUCUUUGUUGACUAUAAUAUUACCAAAGCACCUAUGUCAAGAACAUAUUUCUAAAGUAGUUACAAUUUUGCAAUUCAGAUUAUUAAAAUAGUUAUCCUUUAGGCUAAGAAAGAAGUGAAAAAAAAAGUUUUUUGUUAGCCUGAGUCAAUUCUGAAAAUUAUGGUAUCCUCUUUAUUCCCUGGAAAAUGAACAUUCUUUUUGAACACAAUAGGGAGACCCUGAUCAAAGCAAGAGCAUCUUACAGAAACUGGCAGGCAGAGAAAAAGGAAACAUUUGCCAUUUGUAGGAACUGGCAGGGAAGUCACCUAUCUAUAAGGCUGGUGCUGCUAAAGCCUAUUAUCUUUGUUCUUCAAAUUGAUUUAAGUAUCCAGGCAUCUUAAAGAAUAAAAUCUGAAUGGCCAUCUAAAAUCCAUAGUAUUUUAUUCUGUCAUACAGUGUUAAGUUGCUACUACCAAAUAACACACAGUCGUUGAAUCUCUGGAUUUAUUUUUAUGUAUUUAUUUGGUCUUUUUGCCAUUUCUUGGGCGGCUCUCGCGGCAUAUGGAGGUUCCCAGGCUAGGGGUCCAAUCGGAGCUGUAGCCGCCGGCCUACACCAGAGCCACAGCAACGCAAGACCUGAGCCGCGUCUGCAACCUACACCACAGCUCACUGCAACGCCAGAUCGUUAACCCACUGAGCAAGGGCUGGGACCGAACCCGCAACCUCAUGGUUCCUAGUCGGAUUCGUUAACCACUGCGCCACGACGGGAACUCCUGGAUUUAUUUUAAUUAAAAUUAGUCCCGAAUAAACCGACAGGAGUAUUUCCACCACACAAGUGAAAACUGCACUCAUGAAAACACCACACAAGUGAAAACACCACGCAAGUGAAAACUGCACUCAUGAAACACCUUUGCUGAACACCGCCACCUAGAGGAAUUUUUAGGUUACUGCACGUUGCUGCAGGGGCCCCUGCUUAAUCAGAGUAGCUCCAUUUUGUUUGUUUUUAAGAGUAACUUUAAAUUAAGGCAUUAAUCUCAGUUUGUCUUACUUUGCCUCGGGAUUCAAGGCACAUAGGUAGAAUACUUACCCAAGAUUGGGUGCAGCAUUUAGGCUCUGCCCCAAGGUGUCAGAUAGAGUGCCCCAGGUGCUGAUCUGGGGUGAGUGAGAUCAACUGAGAAGCAGUCCAGGAUGCCUGACUGCUCCCUUUUGCAUCCUGCCUGCACAGCUGCAGGAAUUUGAAGAAGGAAUCUGGACCUGCCCUUGGGUCAGUUACCAGAUUUGGGGAACCAAAUGAAAGCAGGUGAUGAGAAAUCUGAGAAAUUGAUGCCCUGUGGGGGAGGGCUACUCUUUGAACAAAGUGAACCUUCAGGACCAGGGUCUCUGGGUGUGGAGGGGAAGGUUGGGAGAAGUGACCCUGUGGGCAGCCCUCCCCCCAGGCAUGGGUGCAGCCCAGGGUCUGUGUGUGGAACCAGCCUGGGUAUGGCCCAGAAGCUGUGUUUUGCCCACAGCCCAAAGACUCGGAUCCCUUCCAGGAAACACUCAAAGAAAGACAGUAUCCAGGGGAGGUGACCAGCCCAAGCCACGGACCCAAGUACCCCCAGUGCAAGGACAAAAUGGACGUAGGAACUUAAGUGCAAUGCGAGGUGAAACUCUCAUACUUUGGAAGUUCCCUUUCACACUUCUUUCUAAACUGGAUCUGUACAUGCCUUGCGGUUUGAACAUGAGACACAUGACACACACAAUAUUCAGGUGUCCAGACCACCGGUAGUAGGGGUGAGGAUUGCCAUGGACGUGUUUGCUCUUACCAAUGCUCUGUGCUAUGGAGAUGCCAUUGCCAUGUAAUCCCAUGCAUUUUGCAGCUUUUCUCCAGGGUGCUUAAAUCCCUGUGCAGACAUUGCAGCUAAACUGAAAACAAUGAAACUUUUUAAAAAGUUUUUUUUUAAAAAAACAUACUCAGUAUUUUGACUGUUUUUAUUUGGUGGCAGAUGUCCAACACCAAGGUGUGAUGGGAGUGGUCCUAUGACUGGUAAUUAGCCUCACAUAGAUGUGCCUUCAUUUUUUCUCAUGGUGGAUUCUGUCUUUCAAUUUAUUGUUUUCAGCUUGCCUCAAAAAUGCUGUCCAAGUACAAACAUUGAAUUAUGCAUCAUCCCUUUAAGUGUGGUAUGUUGACCUUUGAAAGCAUGCUGAUUGAUUAUCAUGUGGUAUAAUGUCUAUUUUGAAAUAAACCACCUAAAUUUGGAAAAUUAUUUAUAAA
rnacentral:lncRNA from 1 species